rnacentral:rRNA from 1 species
UACGUAGGGUCCGAGCGUUGUCCGGAAUUAUUGGGCGUAAAGGGCUCGUAGGCGGUUUGUCACGUCGGGAGUGAAAACUCGGGGCUCAACCCCGAGCCUGCUUCCGAUACGGGCAGACUAGAGGUAUGCAGGGGAGAACGGAAUUCCUGGUGUAGCGGUGAAAUGCGCAGAUAUCAGGAGGAACACCGGUGGCGAAGGCGGUUCUCUGGGCAUUACCUGACGCUGAGGAGCGAAAGUGUGGGGAGCGAACAGG